rnacentral:rRNA from 1 species
GACGAACGCUGGCGGCGUGCUUAACACAUGCAAGUCGAACGGAAAGGCCCUGCUUUUGUGGGGUGCUCGAGUGGCGAACGGGUGAGUAACACGUGAGUAACCUGCCCUUGACUUUGGGAUAACUUCAGGAAACUGGGGCUAAUACCGGAUAGGAGCUCCUGCUGCAUGGUGGGGGUUGGAAAGUUUCGGCGGUUGGGGAUGGACUCGCGGCUUAUCAGCUUGUUGGUGGGGUAGUGGCUUACCAAGCCUUUGACGGGUAGCCGGCCUGAGAGGGUGACCGGCCACAUUGGGACUGAGAUACGGCCCAGACUCCUACGGGAGGCAGCAGUGGGGAAUAUUGCGCAAUGGGCGGAAGCCUGAUGCAGCAACGCCGCGUGCGGGAUGACGGCCUUCGGGUUGUAAACCGCUUUCGCCUGUGACGAAGCGUGAGUGACGGUAAUGGGUAAAGAAGCACCGGCUAACUACGUG